GGUUUUUUUCUUAAUUGUUUGAAACUGUAAACUUAUAUUGCAAACUAACAGCACUAAAAUAAGCUAGUUAUUACAUAAUUAUAGUCCUUAUUGUUUGUAAUUAACAUGUUUUAAUACUGUUUUUGCAGAGCUCACAACCUGCUGAAGCAUCCACUCAUUUGUCAGAACCAACCACAGCUGAACAAACCGCUUAAACAACAUUUCAUGUUUUCUGUACAGUUUUUGUUAAGGGAGAGCCUUCUGGAUUCUAAAGGACAACCUCAGGGUCUAGCAGGAUUGGCAAUUCAUCUUCAUUACCAUGAGCCUGGAAAUUUUUUGUUUGUCUAUUUCUUGAAGUCAAAAGCUGUGCAUGAACUGUGCAGAAAAAAUAAG